rnacentral:rRNA from 1 species
AACGCAGCGAAGGGCGAUAAGUAAUGUGAAUUGCAGAAUUCAGUGAAUCAUCGAAUCUUUGAACGCACCUUGCGCCCUUUGGUAUUCCGAAGGGCAUGCCUGUUUUGAGUGUCAUUAAAUUAUCAACCUUGCUCGCUUUUACUAGCUUGAGUUUUGGCUUGGAUGUGAGGGGCUUUGCUGGCUUCCUUCAGUGGAUGGUCUGCUCCCUUUAAAUGCAUUAGUGGGAUCUCUUGUGGACCGUCACUUGGUGUGAUAAUUAUCUAUGCCUUGGGACUUUGAAGCAAACUAAUGGGAACCUGCUUAUAACCGUCUUCGGACAAUCUCUGACAUUUUGACCUCAAAUCAGGUAGGACUACCCGCUGAACUUAA